GGGCCGCAUUCCGUAAACUAUUCAUUCAAUUAAAUAAUUCUUGGACCUCGUGCACGAUUUUUUUAUGGAGAAGAUGAAACGAAGCAUGUGGGCACAACAAAGUGAUUUUCCACUACCACUGUAAACUACACAACAAAGGAAAGGGAUCGUUUCCAGAACUUCCACCUGCAUUCUGUGAUCCAGAUGGUGUUUGUCUUACUGGACUGACAUGCUUCCUCUUUAAACUAUUUGGUGGUGUAUGUGUUGGUGUUGUGUUUUGAUGUUGUAUCAAUGGUCUGACUUCUGGUGACAUGAUGGAUGAGUCUGUAAGCACAUAAAAAAGAUUCUGCUACGAAUGCUACCGAAGCAAAGUUUACGAAUUAGCAUAUGCUGUACAGAAAUACUUUACUCACGUCUGUGGUUCUUCGCCCUUUUCGCCUUGUGAGUUGAUACGAACUUCUUAGGGGCUUAGGCGCGAAUUUCCUCAUCGAAAGUUUCCCGCCAAUGACUAGGAGGGAUAUUACAUGCGACAAAGUAAAGGUUUAAAUAUGUGAAAGCGAAGUAAAUAAACAGUUAUUAUUGUAUUAUAAAUUAUAAUUUGACAAAAUGGAUUGUAUUUUAAAUGUCUCACAUCCAUAAUACAAGUUGAAAUAUU